UGUUUCGGCUAGGGGGUCAUCCCGACUUACCAACCCGAUGCAAACUGCGAAUACCGGAGAAUGUUAUCACGGGAGACACACGGCGGGUGCUAACGUUCGUCGUGAAGAGGGAAACAACCCAGACCGCCGGCUAAGGUCCCAAAGUCAUAAUUAAGUGGGAAACGAAGUGGGAAGGCUCAGACAGCCAGGAUGUUGGCUUAGAAGCAGCCAUCAUUUAAAGAAAGCGUAAUAGCUCACUGGUCGAGUCGGCCUGCGCGGAAGAUGUAACGGGGCUAAAUUAUGCACCGAAGCCGCGGCAGCGAUAUGUAAAUAUUGUUGGGUAGGGGAGCGUUCUGUAAGCCUGUGAAGGUGACCUGUGAGGGUUGCUGGAGGUAUCAGAAGUGCGAAUGCUGACAUAAGUAACGAUAAUGCGGGUGAAAAACCCGCACGCCGGAAGACCAAGGGUUCCUGUCCAACGUUAAUCGGGGCAGGGUGAGUCGACCCCUAAGGCGAGGCUGAAAAGCGUAGUCGAUGGGCAACGGGUUAAUAUUCCCGUACUGGUGGUAACUGCGAAGGGGGGACGGAGAAAGCUAAAUCAUCCGGGCGACGGUUGUCCCGGUUUAAGCGUGCAGGUGGACUG
rnacentral:rRNA from 1 species